UACCUCUGGCUGGACCCACAGAGAUCUGCCUGCAUCUGCUUUCUGGGUGCUAGGAUUAAAGACGCGCAUCCCCACAGCUGGCCUCAGUACCGUUUCUUCAGCUCAUUUCUCUGAACUGUUACCAGGUGGCUACGACUUCUUCAGAACGGAAUAAAGGAUCAGUUCAGCCACACACACUUGUUUGUGCUCCAGCUCUGGACUCACCACCCCAAACAGUGACUUAACAAGUAUGUCCCCUGCAUGCUGAUAAGCAGUGACCCUGACAAACUGGGAGGGGAAGUGACCCGAAAAAAGGAGCAGUCAUUCUGUGCUUCCCUCUCCUCGCCUUGGGGGCAGCUCCUUUAACUCUCUCCCAGCCAAUGAGACUACAUCACUGAUUUUACAGCCAAGAAACUGAAGCCCCCAAAGAACAAUACAGAUAUGGGGUGAGAUUGUCAGGCUUGGCGACAAGCGCCCAUACCUGCUGCGCCAUCUUACCAUCCCUGGGGGUGCUUUUCAACAGUCGAUAAGCGCUGGAAGUACUGCAGUGGAGACAGCUCAUAACCAACUUCCGAGGGCCCUGUGAAGGAAAUCCCUGCCACCCAGCAAGAAGCCAGAGGCCCUGAAGUAAAUAGGAUGUGGGUGGCACAGUCAAUGUAGAGUUAACCCUAGGGUACUUUCCUAAGCCCAACACAGGCCAGGGCUGCUACACCCCAUUAAAAAAGGCAAGUCACA